rnacentral:rRNA from 1 species
UAAAGAAUUUCGGUAUGGGAUGGGGAUGCGUUCCAUUAGUUAGUUGGCGGGGUAACGGCCCACCAAGACAACGAUGGAUAGGGGUUCUGAGAGGAAGGUCCCCCACAUUGGAACUGAGACACGGUCCAAACUCCUACGGGAGGCAGCAGUGAGGAAUAUUGGUCAAUGGACGAGAGUCUGAACCAGCCAAGUAGCGUGAAGGAUGACUGCCCUAUGGGUUGUAAACUUCUUUUAUAUGGGAAUAAAACGUUCCACGUGUGGAAUUUUGUAUGUACCAUAUGAAUAAGGAUCGGCUAACUCCGUGCCAGCAGCCGCGGUAAUACGGAGGAUCCGAGCGUUAUCCGGAUUUAUUGGGUUUAAAGGGAGCGUAGGUGGAUUGUUAAGUCAGUUGUGAAAGUUUGCGGCUCAACCGUAAAAUUGCAGUUGAAACUGGCAGUCUUGAGUACAGUAGAGGUGGGCGGAAUUCGUGGUGUAGCGGUGAAAUGCUUAGAUAUCACGAAGAACUCCGAUUGCGAAGGCAGCUCACUGGACUGCAACUGACACUGAGGC